rnacentral:tRNA from 1 species
ACAGGGCAUUGACAUCUGUGACGCGCUGAAGGCACGUAA